rnacentral:lncRNA from 1 species
AAGAAUGGAAUAUAGUUUAAAUAAAAAUAUAUGAAUUGCUAAAUAAUUUGUAUAUAUUUAAAAAGAUACUUAUCUAAGAGUAGAAUGGUUAUUUGUGGAAAAAAAAAGAUUAAUUUCAUACAGAUUUCUAUAAAUAUAGUGAAUAACAAAUAUAUCCUUACAAAGUUCAACUUUUAUAUGUUGUUCCUAGAAAAGUCCUGAUAUUUUCAAAUAUGUCAGUCUGUUUUGUUACCGUUAGAGAACUAUUAGAGAACUGUUCAUAUUUUUAAUUUUGUCAUCACAAAUAUAUCUCUCCGAAAAUCAUAACAGUAUGAUAUAAGAAAUGUAAAAAUGUCAAAAAUUAAUUAAAGUUAAGUAUUUAACCUAUGGUAAACCAAAUUUUUCUAACGAAUUUUAACGACAAAAAUACAUUUGAAAACAUCAGAAUUUUUGUAGAGAUAAUAUAUGAAAGUUGAACUUUGUAAAGAUAUAUUUGUCAUUCACUAUAUUUGUACGGAUCUAUAUGAAAUUAACUAAAAAAAAAAGU